CUUGCCUCUGGGCUUCAGGCAGGACACACCUAAUAACAAACAGCUGGAAAUAUGAUACCGUCAUAAGAGGGCAGAGCAACACAAUUUUUCAUUCACCUUCCCAUAAACUUCAUGCAGGACAAAGAGUGAAGUCAAAUUAGUGCCAAAACUUUCCUCAUACAUCAUCUAAGUGCCCUGGAAGGCAAAGACUGGGCUUCAGACUAAGCAAUUUUUUUGCAAAAGUAACUGCUUAUUGCACUUGUACAAGCAAUCAGACCACAGCAUCGCUCUGUUCUCAGCCACUUCAGAUCUCUGGGAACUGGGCUGCAGCCCAGAGCCAUAGGCAGUGCUGUAAAGACUCAGAGCUAAAGGUUUCUGAUAUACGUACAACUGAAGAGGCAACACAUGGAGGCAGACAUGUCAUCAGCAUGAAAUUGUAAGGAAACGCUGAGAUCAGCUUGCAAGUCAGAAAUGCUGGCACGUUACAGCUUAAUGGUGACCAGUUUCUUUGGAGACAACAUAGCAGAAGAAGGAUUAAUAAUGUACCACAGCAAGUUUCCUGAUGACAAGCACGCUGAAGCCUUGGUUUGACAUCUCAUUCAAAACAUUUGAACAUGAAGACCUAUUGUUUCCUUGCCAAAGUAAACAGCUUUUUUCCCUACCUGUAACACGCUGUCCUCAGACCUGCUCUUCCCCAGUAGAGCUGGGAUUAUGUUUGUUCCUCUUAUGCACCCAGACAGAUAGAAAAGGUAAGGAAAAAAAUUAAAAGAAGUGCUGGGAGGGUGAAAUGUGUUCCCCUGGACUGUAGCAGCUCAGCAACAGAGCUUGAACACAUCAGUGCUGCCCCUUCAACUCUGUCCCUUAAAGUGAGCAAAGAGCUGUGCCAGAGCCAGGAGUGGUGAAGGGGAGAUGCUGGAAGUUUGCACUUAAUGAAGUCUUCAGCAACCUGGUGCCAACAGCAGCACUUUUAUGGGUAAUUCUAACAGGAAAGUCGGAUGAGGGCUAAUUCAAAGCAAACAGAACUGCGUUCCUUGCAGCACGGCACUGGGUAGCGCAGCUAACAGGACAGCCACCGUUCAAAGAAAAUAGACACCACCACCUGCGACCAGGAAAUAACUCUGCUGGUUUUAAUAUUGUCAUGGAUUAUUUGCAACAUAGGCAAGGGAAUUAUGUUUCUUAAAAAAAAAAAAAAAAA